rnacentral:rRNA from 1 species
GGGAUAACUAGGGGCGCGCGGCCUGGGGAAUACGUAAGUGGCAAGCGUUAUCCGGAAUUACUGGGCGUAAAGCGCGCGCAGGUGGUUUCUUAAGGCUGAUGUGAAAGGCCACGGCUCAACCGUGGAGGGUCAUUGGAAACUGGGAGACUUGAGUGCAGAAGAGGAAAGUGGAAUUCCAUGUGUAGCGGUGAAAUGCGUAGAGAUAUGGAGGAACACCAGUGGCGAAGGCGACUUUCUGGUCUGUAACUGACACUGAGGCGCGAAAGCGUGGGGAGCAAACAGGAUUAGAUACCCUGAGUC